rnacentral:rRNA from 1 species
AGCGAACGCUGGCGGCAGGCCUAACACAUGCAAGUCGAACGAAGUCUUCGGACUUAGUGGCGGACGGGUGAGUAACACGUGGGAACGUACCUUUUGGUUCGGAACAACUCAGGGAAACUUGAGCUAAUACCGGAUGAGCCCUUAGGGGGAAAGAUUUAUCGCCGAAAGAGCGGCCCGCGUUAGAUUAGCUAGUUGGUGAGGUAAAGGCUAACCAAGGCUACGAUCUAUAGCUGGUCUGAGAGGAUGAUCAGCCACCCUGGGACUGAGACACCGCCCAGGCUCCUACGGGAGGCAGCAGUGGGGAAUCUUGCGCAAUGGGCGAAAGCCUGACGCAGCCAUGCCGCGUGAAUGAUGAAGGUCUUAGGAUUAUAAAAUUCUUUUACCAGGGACGAUAAUGACGGUACCUGGAGAAAAAGCCCCGGCUAACUUCGUGCCAGCCGCCGCCGUAAAAC